rnacentral:rRNA from 1 species
UACGGGGGGAGCAAGCGUUGUUCGGAUUUACUGGGCGUAAAGGGCGCGUAGGCGGUCAGCACAAGUCAAUUGUGAAAUCUCCGGGCUUAACUCGGAAAGGUCAACUGAUACUGCGGGGCUAGAGUGCGGAAGGGGCAACUGGAAUUCUCGGUGUAGCGGUGAAAUGCGUAGAUAUCGAGAGGAACACCUGCGGCGAAGGCGGGUUGCUGGGCCGACACUGACGCUGAUGCGCGAAAGCCAGGGGAGCGAACGGG